rnacentral:lncRNA from 1 species
UGAUCUCUCUGAAUACUUCUCUUUUCCCCCUACUAUCCAUCGUCACCACCAACCGCCAGCCGAGCACCACCGGCCGACCACCGCUGUAAGCACCACCACUGCCUUAACAUCUCUCUUUCGCCCUUUUCCUUUUCUUGUUCGAUUGAGGCGGUGGAUGAGAGUUGAGGUUGAUAAGGACGGAUCAGAUCUGUAAAAUUGCAGCUAGAUCUUGGUCGGAGGUUGGGAUAUUGAUAGUGGCCGCAAACAGAAUUGUACAUCGUAACCCAAUUAAGAGGAACAGAGUGAGAAAACACUAGGCCAUCCAUCAUCACCAUCACCUCAGAUCCCAUCUCGUUCUACCAGAAAGAGGUCAACAGAUUAUGAAUCUGACUCCAGACUUGAAUUCGCACUCGAACACGCUCCAAGUUCUCCAUUGCCGGCAUUUUCACUGCUCGUCUUAAAACCUCUCCUCAUGGCGGUCAGUCCAUUGCUAUGGGAGGUGUUGGCGAGUGUGUAUUUGCUUUAGAAGUGAAAAAGCUUCAGGCAGAGCAGUUCAAACCUGCAUCAUAGGUGAAUGUAUGGGUUUUUUGAUUUAGGUUUGCUUGUUAUUUUGAGUGUUCAUUCGUGUAAUAGAAUACAAAUUAAUAGUUUAACAACAAUUUAUGGUUCAUUU